rnacentral:rRNA from 1 species
UAAACGACUCUCGGCAACGGAUAUCUCGGCUCACGCAUCGAUGAAGAACGCAGCAAAAUGCGAUACUUGGUGUGAAUUGCAGAAUCCCGUGAACCAUCGAGUUUUUGAACGCAAGUUGCGCCCAAAGCCUUUUGGCCGAGGGCACGUCUGCCUGGGCGUCACAC